UUCCUGUUGCUCUUCUCUUUCUUUUUUUCCCUUCUCUUUCGGCUUUUGGGUCAUAUAUUUCAGACAAGAAGAAAGCACCGAUGCACAGCAAUCAUCUGCAAAAUAUUGGAGGAUAAAAAAGUAAGUUGGGCAAAGUUUUUCAA
rnacentral:ribozyme from 13 species